AACGAACGCUGGCGGCGCGUCUUAAGCAUGCAAGUCGAACGGCAAGAUUGGUGCUUGCACCGAUCCUAGAGUGGCGGACUGGUGAGUAACGCGUGGGUGACGUACCCUAAGGAUGGGGAUAGCUGGUAGAAAUAUCAGAUAAUACCGAAUAUCCUUAUUGUUGUUAGAGGAAAGUAAGGAAAGGAGCUUUGGCUUCGCCUAAGGAUCGGCCCGCGUACUAUUAGCUAGUUGGUGAGGUAACGGCUCACCAAGGCGACGAUAGUUAUCCGGCCUAAGAGGGUGAACGGACACAUUGGGACUGAGAUACGGCCCAGACUCCUACGGGAGGCAGCAGCUAAGAAUAUUCCGCAAUGGAGGAAACUCUGACGGAGCGACGCCGCGUGGAUGAUGAAGGCCGGAAGGUUGUAAAAUCCUUUUAAGCAAGAAGAAUAAACUUUACAGGGAAUGGUAGAGUGGUGACGGUAUUGCUUGAAUAAGCAACGGCUAAUUACGUGCCAGCCGCCGCUGUAAGAC
rnacentral:rRNA from 1 species